GCCGUUUAUUUAAGAAUCAAGGGACUAAACAGAGAGAAAGAGCAGAAGCGGAACAAAAAAAAUAGGAACUUGGGCUAUCGAGGAGACACGCAGAGUGCAACUGAAUAAGAAACCAGAAAUGAUGGGGGUGGUUACUCCCACAGAGGGGGAAGAUGAGCUGACGGACCUCCCUCAGGAGAUGUCGCCAAAUCCCUCUCUGCUGUUUGAUGUAAGUUACUAAAUUUAAACUAUUAUGAUGUGUGAGAUUGGAAAAUAGUUGAGAAAGUAAUAUCUCUAUUGGCAACUGCAAUUUUAUUAUUGAUCGACAAUACUUAAUGGUGCAUUGUGUAUGGGAUGUACUAGCAUGCCUGGCUGGUAGGUGGUAACAGAGAACACUUACUACAAGUAUGAAUGGUGGGUAACGGGUGACCACCAAAGCGUGAAUGGAUAGUCUGGGACUACAUGUACGAGUGGUGGGUAACGAGUGACCACCAAAGUGCGAAUGGAAAGCCAUAUGAUGCGAAUGUGAUGUACUAGGCAGGGCCAAGUGUGAAUGACGGAUAUUUGAAUUGAUUACUCGGACUUGAGACCGAUUUAGCCUUUGGGAAAGGGUCUCUCUAAGGUCCUAACAAAGCAUAGGUGUGUGUGUGAAGUACAUCGGGUAGUAAAGUCGGCGCACUGACUACCAAGUUUGAGUGAGGCAGUUUUAGUAAAGGCAUAGGUUGUUGACAGUAUUGUAAUGUACAUACAAUAUCGUUGAAUAUAGAAAAGGUGUUGAAAACGCUGAAGUCCACUCUAGAAUUGAAUGAAGGCAGAGAGGGUAAGGAGUGGAAGAGACGGGGUGAGAAGCUGUACGGAGAAUGGACAGAAGGCGGGGCCAUUGUGUCUCCCACUGGUCUGCUUGCUGGGGUGCAUGAAAUACGCUUGAUAUUCAGUCGGGAACUAAUAUCGGUAUGAAUGAGGUCGGGGACCAAGCGAGUGUGGUACAUUAGGUAUUUCAGUUGGAGCUGGUACCGGAUUUUAUGCAUUACAGGUGAACUACAGGUGAAGUCACUCAAUCCAGUCCCAGAGGCUUGUUGGGGGGACCAUACAAGGACUCCUGGUGACAGCUAGCUGAAAGAGCUACCCGGAUUCAUAUCGCACGGGGGAGGGUAGGACACCCUGCCACUGUCGAACAAUAAACAGUGUUCGAGAGGAGAACUGGAAUUAACAGAAUUCCGGGGGCCAUCUCUCGAAUGAAGUAACCCUCCCUGUCCUGUCACCCCUGUUUUUGUUCAUAGAAGUGAAGAUGUGUCUGGCUCUUGCUAGUGAUGUGUUCUCUGGGAGAGGGUGGGGCUUUACAGGAGUGUCAGUGUACCUGUGUAAUGGGGGAGGGUGUCCAUAUGGGGAUUACAUGAUAACCAACUUGGGACAAUUCUAGGAUUGGAGAAGAGGGUAUUCUUAUAGCAUAGGGGAUCCCACAAAGGUGGAUAGGUUUUCCAUCAUAUGGGGAAAACCUGGGAGCACUGUUGAACUUUGUAAAGGUGAUGAAAUCCUACUAACCAUCAAAACUAUUAAGCUCUCUGAUGCAGGCACUUACACCCUCGGACUAC
rnacentral:lncRNA from 13 species